rnacentral:rRNA from 1 species
CACCGCGGUUAUACGAGAGACCCAAGUUGACAGGCAAUCGGCGUAAAGAGUGGUUAAGUAAUACAUUUCACUAAAGCCAAACACCUUCAAAGCUGUUAUACGCACCCGAAGACCAGAAGCCCAAUCACGAAAGUGGCUUUAAACUAACUGAACCCACGAAAGCUAGGGCA